rnacentral:rRNA from 1 species
AGUGAACGCUGGCGGUAGGCCUAACACAUGCAAGUCGAACGGCAGCACAGUAAGAGCUUGCUCUUACGGGUGGCGAGUGGCGGACGGGUGAGGAAUACAUCGGAAUCUACUUUUUCGUGGGGGAUAACGUAGGGAAACUUACGCUAAUACCGCAUACGACCUACGGGUGAAAGCAGGGGAUCUUCGGACCUUGCGCGAUUGAAUGAGCCGAUGUCGGAUUAGCUAGUCGGCGGGGUAAAGGCCCACCAAGGCAACGAUCCGUAGCUGGUCUGAGAGGAUGAUCAGCCACCCUGGAACUGAGACAGGGUCCAGACUCCAACGGGGGGCGACGGAGGGGAGUUUUCGACAAUGAGGGAAUGCCUGAUGCAGCCAUCCCGCGUGGGUGAGGAGGGCUUUAGGGUUGUAAGGCCGUUUUGUUGGGAAAGAAAAGCAGCAGGUUAAUACCCCGCUGUUCUGACGGUACCCAAAGAGUAAGCACCGGCUAACUUCGUG